rnacentral:rRNA from 1 species
CCUACGGGUGGCUGCAGUGAGGAAUCUUGCACAAUGGGCGCAAGCCUGAAGCAGCCACGUAGCGUGAAGGAUGACUGCCCUCCGGGUGGUAAACUUCUUUUAUAGAGGAAUAAAGUGAGGCAAGUGUGCCUUUAUGUAUGUCUUAUAUGAAUCAGGAUCGGCUAACUACGUGCCAGCAGCCGCGGUAAUACGGAGGAUCCGAGCGUUAUCCGGAUGUAUUGGGUAUAAAGGGGGCGUAGAUGGGUUUUUAAGACAGUGGUGAAAGUGGGCGGUUCAACAGUAAAACUGCAAGUGAAACUGGCAGGCUUGAGUACAGUUGAGGUAGGCGGAAUUCGUGGUGUAGGGGUGAAAUGCUUAGAUAUCAGGAAGAACUCCGAUUGCGAAGGCAGGUUACUAAACCGCCACUGACAUUGAGGCUCGAAAGUGUGGGUAGCAAACAGGAUUAGAUACCCGUGUAGUC